GACGAACGCUGGCGGCGUGCUUAACACAUGCAAGUCGAACGGAAAGGCCCUGCUUUUGUGGGGUGCUCGAGUGGCGAACGGGUGAGUAACACGUGAGUAACCUGCCCUUGACUUUGGGAUAACUUCAGGAAACUGGGGCUAAUACCGGAUAGGAGCUCCUGCUGCAUGGUGGGGGUUGGAAAGUUUCGGCGGUUGGGGAUGGACUCGCGGCUUAUCCGCUUGUUGGUGGGGUAGUGGCUUACCAAGGCUUUGACGGGUAGCCGGCCUGAGAGGGUGACCGGCCACAUGGGGACUGAGAGACGGCCCAGACUCCUACGGGAGGCAGCAGUGGGGAAUAUUGCACAAUGGGCGGAAGCCUGAUGCAGCAACGCCGCGUGCGGGAUGACGGCCUUCGGGUUGUAAACCACUUUCGCCUGUGACGAAGCGUGAGUGGCGGUAAUGGGUAAAGAAGCACCGGCUAACUACGUG
rnacentral:rRNA from 1 species